rnacentral:rRNA from 1 species
CCUACGGGGGGCAGCAGUGGGGAAUAUUGGACAAUGGGCGAAAGCCUGAUCCAGCCAUGCCGCGUGUGUGAAGAAGGCCUUCGGGUUGUAAAGCACUUUCAGUGGGGAAGAAAGCCUUGGGGCUAAUACCCUCGAGGAAGGACAUCACCCACAGAAGAAGCACCGGCUAACUCCGUGCCAGCAGCCGCGGUAAUACGGAGGGUGCGAGCGUUAAUCGGAAUUACUGGGCGUAAAGCGCGCGUAGGCGGUCUGAUAAGCCGGUUGUGAAAGCCCCGGGCUCAACCUGGGAACGGCAUCCGGAACUGUCAGGCUAGAGUGCAGGAGAGGAAGGUAGAAUUCCCGGUGUAGCGGUGAAAUGCGUAGAGAUCGGGAGGAAUACCAGUGGCGAAGGCGGCCUUCUGGACUGACACUGACGCUGAGGUACGAAAGCGUGGGUAGCAAACAGGAUUAGAUACCCGGGUAGUC